GAUGAACGCUGGCGGCGUGCCUAAUACAUGCAAGUCGAGCGAAUGGAUUAAGAGCUUGCUCUUAUGAAGUUAGCGGCGGACGGGUGAGUAACACGUGGGUAACCUGCCCAUAAGACUGGGAUAACUCCGGGAAACCGGGGCUAAUACCGGAUAACAUUUUGAACCGCAUGGUUCGCAAUUGACAGGCGGCUUCGGCUGUCACUUAUGGAUGGACCCGCGUCGCAUUAGCUAGUUGGUGAGGUCACGGCUCACCAAGGCAACGAUGCGUAGCCGACCUGAGGGGGUGAUCGGCCACACUGGGACUGAGACACAGCCCAGACUCCUACGGGAGGCAGCAGUAGGGAAUCUUCCGCAAUGGACGAAAGUCUGACGGAGCAACGCCGCGUGAGUGAUGAAGGCUUUCGGGUCGUAAAACUCUGUUGUUAGGGAAGAACAAGUGCUAGUUGAAUAAGCUGCCACCUUGACGGUACCUAACCAGAAAGCCACGGCUAACUACGUGCCAGCCGCCGCGGUAA
rnacentral:rRNA from 1 species